rnacentral:rRNA from 1 species
UACGGAGGGUGGGAGCGUUGUCCGGAUUUAUUGGGUUUAAAGGGUGCGUAGGCGGCCGAUUAAGUCAGUGGUGAAAGCCGGCAGCUUAACUGUCGAGGUGCCAUUGAUACUGGUUGGCUUGUAUUUUGUUGAGGUAGGCGGAAUUGAUGGUGUAGCGGUGAAAUGCAUAGAUACCAUCAGGAACAUCGAUUGCGAAGGCAGCUUACUGGGCAAGGAUAGACGCUGAGGCACGAAAGUGUGGGGAUCAAACAGG